CCUACGGGUGGCUGCAGUCGAGAAUCAUUCACAAUGGGGGAAACCCUGAUGGUGCGACGCCGCGUGGGGGAAUGAAGGUCUUCGGAUUGUAAACCCCUGUCAUGUGGGAGCAAAUUAAAAAGAUAGUACCACAAGAGGAAGAGACGGCUAACUCUGUGCCAGCAACCGCGGUAAUACAGAGGUCUCAAGCGUUGUUCGGAAUCACUGGGCGUAAAGCGUGCGUAGGCUGUUUCGUAAGUCGUGUGUGAAAGGCGCGGGCUCAACCCGCGGACGGCACAUGAUACUGGGAGACUAGAGUAAGGGAGGGGGAACCGGAAUUCGCGGUGUAGCAGUGAAAUGCGUAGAUAUCGAGAGGAACACUCGUGGCGAAGGCGGGUUCCUGGACAUUAACUGACGCUGAGGCACGAAGGCCAGGGGAGCGAAAGGGAUUAGAUACCCGAGUAGUC
rnacentral:rRNA from 1 species